rnacentral:rRNA from 1 species
UUGGAGGGCAAGUCUGGUGCCAGCAGCCGCGGUAAUUCCAGCUCCAAUAGCGUAUAUUAAAGUUGUUGCAGUUAAAAAGCUCGUAGUUGAAUUUCGGGACCAAUUUGUUGGUCGUGCCUCGGUACGUACUGGUAUUAUUGGUUUCUCCCUUCUGAAGAACCUUGAUGUCAUUAAUUUGGUGUCUUGGGGAAUCAGGACUGUUACUUUGAAAAAAUUAGAGUGUUUAAAGCAGGCAUACGCUUGAAUACAUUAGCAUGGAAUAAUGAAAUAGGACGUUUGAUUCUAUUUUGUUGGUUUCUAGGAUCGACGUAAUGAUUAAUAGGGAUAGUUGGGGGCAUUAGUAUUCAAUUGUCAGAGGUGAAAUUCUUGGAUUUAUUGAAGACUAACUACUGCGAAAGCAUUUGCCAAGGAUGUUUUCAUUAAUCAAGAACGAAAGUUAGGGGAUCGAAGACGAUCAGAUACCGUCGUAGUCUUAGCCAUAAACUAUGCCGACUAGGGAUCGGAUGAUGUUAUUUUUAAUGACUCAUUCGGCGCCUUACGGGAAACCAAAGUGUUUGGGUUC